UGCAGCUUUGUCAAAUUCAGUGUUUCCUUUUUAGUGGACUACACUGGCCAAAAUGGCUGCAACAUCAAAUAAUUAGUCAAUGGGCCCCACAUUCUUAAAGUGGAGACUGGGGACAGAAAACUGACUAUGUACAUAU